AGGGCCUUGUGCAUGCUAAAUACAUGAUGUGCCCCUAAGCUGUACUCUACCCCCUCAGAGUUCUAAUUUUGAGGCCUGAGCUGAGGGGCAGAUACUGGAGACCUCAGAGCCCGAUCUGAAGACCCUAUGGUUGUUGUCUCCCAUUCCCAGGCCUACCAGCCCCACCAUCCUGUUGAGACUGGGUGGGAGAGAGGGAUUAUUCCUGGCUGAGCUAGAAUGGGUGUGUGUUUUAGGAACCAGUGACUUUUGCGGAUGUGGCGGUUGUGUUCACAGCAGAAGAGUGGGUUUUCCUGGACUCUUCUCAGAGAAGCUUGUACAGAGAUGUGAUGCUGGAAAACUAUAGGAACCUGGCCUUCUUGGGUAAGUCUGGCUUUGUUGCCUCCUCAUGCAGCCACCAUGGGUUCUAGAAACAGUGUUUGGGAGAUCAGGAGGCAAAUAGGCCAGGCCAUCCUCAUGAUGCUUCCAGUGGCC
rnacentral:lncRNA from 1 species